UACGAAGGUCCCAAGCGUUAUCCGGAUUUAUUGGGUUUAAAGGGUGCUUAGGCGGCUUAUUAAGUCAGUGGUGAAAGCUCCAUGCUUAACAUGGAAAUUGCCAUUGAUACUGAUGAGCUUGAGUAUAUUUGAAGUGGGCGGAAUGUGUCGUGUAGCGGUGAAAUGCUUAGAUAUGACACAGAACACCGAUUGCGUAGGCAGCUCACUAAACUAUAACUGACGCUGAGGCACGAAAGCAUGGGGAUCAAACAGG
rnacentral:rRNA from 1 species